AAGUCGUAACAAGGUUUCCGUAGGUGAACCUGCGGAAGGAUCAUUAUUGAAUAUGCUUGAUAGGUUGUAGCUGGCUCUUCGGAGUAUGUGCACGCUUAUCUUGACUUUAUUCAUCCACCUGUGCACCUUUUGUAGUCUUGGGGGCUGAGAUCGGUCGACUAUCGGAUGGCCAAGGUCAUUCCGGAUGUGAGGAAUGCUGAGUGCGAAAGCAUACAGCUCUUCUCAAAUGACUUGUCUUCCUCGAGUACUAUGUAUUCAUAUACCACAUAGUAUGUUGUAGAAUGUGAUCAAUGGGUCUAUGUACCUAUAAUAAUCAUAUACAACUUUCAGCAACGGAUCUCUUGGCUCUC
rnacentral:misc_RNA from 1 species